AUUGAACGCUGGCGGCAUGCCUUACACAUGCAAGUCGAACGGUAACAGGUCUUCGGAUGCUGACGAGUGGCGAACGGGUGAGUAAUACAUCGGAACGUGCCUAGUAGUGGGGGAUAACUACUCGAAAGAGUGGCUAAUACCACAUGAGAUCUACGGAUGAAAGCAGGGGAUCGCAAGACCUUGUGCUACUAGAGCGGCCGAUGGCAGAUUAGGUAGUUGGUGGGAUAAAAGCUUACCAAGCCGACGAUCUGUAGCUGGUCUGAGAGGACGAUCAGCCACACUGGGACUGAGGCACGGCCCAGACUCCUACGGGAGGCAGCAGUGGGGAAUUUUGGACAAUGGGCGAAAGCCUGAUCCAGCAAUGCCGCGUGCAGGAUGAAGGCCUUCGGGUUGUAAACUGCUUUUGUACGGAACGAAAAGCCCCGGGUUAAUACCCUGGGGUCAUGACGGUACCGUAAGAAUAAGCACCGGCUAGCUACGUGCCAGCCGCCGCAGUAA
rnacentral:rRNA from 1 species